rnacentral:rRNA from 1 species
GGCCAUCGCGCAACGGAUAAAAGCUACCCUGGGGAUAACAGGCUUAUCUCCCCCAAGAGUCCACAUCGACGGGGCGGUUUGGCACCUCGAUGUCGGCUCAUCACAUCCUGGGGCUGUAGUAGGUCCCAAGGGUUGGGCUGUUCGCCCAUUAAAGUGGUACGCGAGCUGGGUUCAGAACGUCGUGAGACAGUUCGGUCCCUAUCCGUCGCAGGCGUAGGAAAUUUGAGAAGACCUGUCCUUAGUACG